rnacentral:lncRNA from 7 species
AACAGUGGCUCCCUCGCGUACACAACCCCCUGGGUCGCUGCGUCCUUGGACCGAGUUGUGAGAUAUAUCCCCUCCGGAUCGCCUGCCUAGGAAGCGGAACUCUCCGUAACCACCGGCCGUGGCGCGCGGAUUACCUGCGCCCGAUUCCCUGGGAUCUCUGGAUAAGAGGGGGGAAUACUCUCUCGUGCCUACCCUCUGAACCCACCCCCACGACCGCCUUGUAACACCAGCUGGAGUCAUUGACGGUCGCAAACGUUAGCUCACUGGACCGGAGUACGGGCUGCACAUCGCCGUCAGCUUCUCUGGUGACUGCCCUCUCUGUUGAUUGGGUGGGUCGUCGGUGGAGGGUGCUCGUGAUCCCAGUGAUUGAAGUCGUGCGGGGUAUCGGGCUUUGCGAAGAAGACCUCGGAAAUACCCCCAUCGACGAUGAACUCCGUUGUGAACCAAUCUCCACCGCGCCCAGGACAGGCUGUCACCAGAUUCAUGCGCGAGGACACGUGUCAGC